GAUAGCCUGGGGAGAAAUGCCAAAUGUGGGUGAAGGGGAGGAAGGCAGCAAAACACACUGCCAUGUGUGUACCUAUGCAAAUGUCUUGCAUGUUCUGCACAUGUACCCCAAAACCUAAAAUGCAAUAAAAAAAGAGGAAAAAAAGAUAACAAUUCUAGUUAAAAUAUAAUUCUGUAUAUAAAGCAAACCAAGAUAAGAUGCAGUUUUUGAUGAGAGAAUAAAUUAUAAUAAAGACAUAAAGUUGUAGUUUUACUGAGAAAAAUAAUGAUUGUAUGUAAUUUGGAGGCUACUUAAAAGUUAUUCAUGAGCCUGUAAUCCUAGUACUUUGGGAGGCCAAGGCAAGCAGAUAACUUGAGGCCAGGAGUUUGGGACCAGCCUGGCUGAGGUGGUGAAACCUCAUACCUACUAAAAAUACAAAAAUUAGCUGGGCAUGGUGGCACACACCUACAAUCUCAGCUACUCAGGAGGCUGAGGUGAGAAGAUCCCUUGAACCUGGAAGCCAGAGGUUUCAGCGAGCUGAGAUCAUGCCACUGCACUCCAGCUUGGGUGACAAAGUGAGACUAUGUCUUAAAAAAUCCAAAAAGGUUAUAUAUGAAAGAAGGUAGAAAGGAACCAGUAAGGAGGAGAGAGUUGUGAAGAAAAUUAUUAAUAUAAAGGUGUAUUUUUGGUAGGGAAGAUCAUAAUGAAAAUUUAAAUUCUGUAUGUGAUUAAGUUGGUGAUAAUUAAAAGUGAAUUACUUAUAAUAGUCUUUCUAAGAUUGAUAUCUAACAUAGUUUAGAUCUUUGUUCCCACACAAGUCUCCUGUCAAAUUGUAAUCCCCAAUGUUAGAGGUCAGGUCUGGUGAGGGGUGAUUCAAUUAUACAGGUAUUUUUCAUGAAUGGUUAAGUCCAUCCUCUUGGUACUGUCCUCAUGUUAGUGAAUGAGUUAUUGCAAGAUCUGGUUUAUAAAAAUGUUGUAGCACCUCUCCCCUCUCUCUCUGGCUCACUCCCCUCUCAUUUUCUGCCAUGAUUGUAAGUUCUCUGAGGUCUCCUCAGAAGCUGAGCAGAUGCCAGCUUCAUGCUUCCUGUACAUCCUGCCAAACUGUAAGCCAACCAAACCUUUUUUCUUUCUUUUUUUUAUAAAUUACACAGUCUCAGAUAGUUCUUUAUAACAAUGAGAGAACAGACUAAUACAGUCACCUAUGUUAAAGUUUUUGCUUUUUUGAAAUCUUUGAGCUAUCACUUUUUGCUAAUUGAAUGACUUACUUUACAGUGACUUCUAAUCCUAUUUUGUGAUAUCAAAUGUUUAAACCUUUGAUAUUUGACAAACUUUCCAAAAUCAAAUUCUAAAUUCAAUCUUAUGACCUCAAACUAACUUUUUAGAGCUCCAAGUGGGAUGUAUUGAGUCAAUUAGGCCUAUUAAAAUCAUAGAGGAAGCAUUGUGACAUAUAAAGUUGUAUUUAACUUUCUUUGGGUUAUAUUUAUAUAAAUGUGUCAUUAGUAUGUAUUCCAAAAUUAUCUGAGAUUCCUAUAAUUCUGACUUGUCUUAGUAAAUGUUAUCAGUAAUAAUAAUUAUGUUAAAUUUUGUAUUGCACAGAAGUAAUUACAUUUCCUUGUCAGUUGUACUUUUAACCAUGACUGUCGUAAGACUUUCAUUAUUCACAAUCAUUGUUUUACUUUAAUUCUUCUCAAAAAGUAGUUUAUUAUCAGCUACAGUUCAAAACAUGUUUCUUUAGGGAGUUCACAAAAAGGACUUGGAUGAGUGUUCUUGAAUACAGAUUUCUGAUAACUUUGGAGAUUUUGCAAUUGGACUAGAGAUAAAAUUCUAGACUCUUAACUAAAAAGCUGAUGUAUUCAUUAUAUGUGUAACCAAAACCACCUGUCCCCUAAAAACUAGUGAAAUAAAAAAUAAAUAAAUGAACUAAAUAAAGUUAAAAAGAGAGAAUAAAAUUUUAUAUAACCUCACUAACCUACCUCUCAUGAUAAAUCCUGCCACUGGUUGAGAAAUUAUCAUAAUCUACAAAGUAGAGGGCAGUGUAACUGAGCGUCAAAUGCAAAAUCCCCAAAUACCAACUUCACUAGGAGAAUGCAGGCUUCUGAAAGAAUUUCCAGCAAGAUACAAUAAAUAUAUUAAGAUAAGAGCAACAAGAAAAGGCUGAUGUGUUCCUUUUUCUGACUUGGAUUCGAUUAAAUUGCUACUACCAUUUUCCUGAGGCCCUGCAAGCUGAAUCUUAUGCCUUAUGAUACAGGUAAAAACUAAAGAUGCUUUUAAGUCUUGCAUCUGGGAACCUCAGUUGAAUACCCUCUAGACUCUAAGAAAACUGAUUUAUAGAUUGUUACCAACAAUAACCUUUGUUGUUCUUCUGUUUGAAAACACAUCUGCAAUGCCAUCUCCCAAAACAAGAUGCAGCUGUUUAAUGGGACUUGGCUACUCCCAGACUGGUUAUAUUUAAAUGUUAAGUCUCUCCUCCAAGGUAAACAUAGAUUAUAUGAUACAUUCAUGUGUGUUUAAUAUGCAUGUGUCAGAACCAUGUUCAUGAAUAAUCAUAGAUUUUCCCAUAACCUGUUAAAUACGUAUGUUUAGCUAACCUGUUAUAUCCCCACAGGAACCCCAGAUACAACUGGCAAUGGAGAACAAACUUACUGAAUUCCUUAUUAAUAAGGGAAGGACAUAUAUUCUGUAGUUUAUACCCAUCUAUCCUAUGAUUCAAACACUAUGGUGGUUAUACAGGUGUCAGGGGAAGCUAUGACUUACCCCUUAGUGCAAUCCUUAGACUGUCAUCUUGGAGACCGGAAUUGUUGGGAAAAACUAAAAAGAUGAACUAUACUCUCAAAAGAAGCACUGCCAAAAUAUGUCAAGAAAGGAAUUUGAUUUGGGAUAAGUCACUGCUGGUUGCCCUGUUGUGGAUUAGAGUGGCUCUCUGAAGUAGGCUCAAAUUGAGUCUCUUUGAAAUUAUUAUAUGGUAGGCUAUUCCAGGUGACUGCUCAAGGGGGACAGCCAACUGAUGCUUUAAGAGAUUUAGCAAUUGCCAAAUAUGUUAAGACCGGGCACUAUACUAACUUCUGUUCAUGAGUUUGCUUCUAGCAGGACCACUCAUCCCAUAGAUGUAGCCCUAGAUCAUUUUCAACUGGGAGACUAUGUCCUCCUAAAGACUGAAAAAAUAAGGAUUUGAACACUGACUUGCUACCAAGUUGACAGGACCAUUCAAGGUGCUGUCAAAUAUUCACUCAUCAGUUAAACUUGCUGGACUAAAGCCAUAGAUGUGUCAUACUCAGGUCAGGGCAGCACAAUCAGAAGAAACCAGGAAAACAAGGGGCUUGAGAGCCCUUGAAGGAUCCAAAACUACUCUUUCAUAAAAAAGAUAAGUGAAAUGAAAAUAUACAUCCUUUGUCCUUUGGAGAUUUUCAUUUUCCUGGAAACACAACUCUUUAGUUAGGAUCUCUCAAUCUAUUGCCUCUUCUCCUAAACUAUCCCACUGCCAGAUUUGUCAUCCGAAGCCUUCUGACAGUUGUUCCUGUAUACAAUUUUACUUAGGUUGGUGCAAAAGUAGUUGUGGUUUCAGACAAUGAAUUUUAAAGCAUUAUAACUAGGCUCAAACACAUCUUUCUUAAUCAAAAUAGGAACCCUUACAAUCAACACAUUUUUGCCAACAAGAAAUAAGUUUGUUUAUUCCUGUAGUUUAAAAAUCUAUGCUUACAGAUUAGAUGAACUCUUGGAAUGCAUUUUUUGCACUGUUUUCCCUGCAAUAUGUUGUUAAGAUGCUUGAAGAAGUGGUAGUCAGUUGACAAGAGGUCAGGUGAAUACGGGGGAUGCGGCAAAACUUCGCAGCCCAAUUCAUUCAACUUUUGAAGUGCUGUUUGUGUGAUCUGUGGUCAGGCAUCAUCAUGGAGAAAAAUUGGGCCCUUUCUGUUGACCAAUGCCAGGCAUUGUCAUGGAGAAGAAUUAGGCCCUUUCUGUUUACCAAUGACAGCUGCAAUGCCAGUUGCAGUUUUUGGUGCAUCUUAUUAAUUUGUUGAGCAUACUUCUCAGAUGUAAUGGUUUUGCUGGGAUUCAGAAUCUGUAGUGGAUCAGACCAGCAGCAGACCACUAGUGACCAUGACCAUUUUUUGGUGCAAGUUUGGCUUCCGGAAGUGCUUUGGACCUUCUUCUUGGUCCAACCACUGAGCUGUUAAUCACCAGUUGUUGUAUAAAAUCCACUUCUUAUUGCACAUCAAAAUCCAAUUGAGAAAUGGUCCAUUGUUGUUUCUUGGAAUAAGAGAAGAUGACACUUAAAAACAUUUAAAAAAAAUUCACUCAGCUCACAAGGCAACCACUUAUUGAACUUUUUCAACUUUAUAAUUUGCUUCAAAUGCCAAAUGACCAUAGAAUGGUCAACAUUGAGUUCUUUGGCAACUUCCCAAAGUGUAAUUGUAAGAGGAUCAGCUUUGAUGAUUGAUCAGUUUCUGAUGGCUGACCACUAUGCUUCUCAUCUUCAGGGUUCUCAUCUCCUUUGCAAAGUAGAUGAAUCACCACUACAUUCUACAUUCCUUAGCAGUUCCUGGGCCAAAUGCGUUGUUGAUGUUGAGAGUUGUCUCUGCUGCUUUGUGACCCAUUUUGAACUCGAAUAAAAAAACUGCUCAAAUUUGCUUCUUCUCUAACUUCAUUUCCAUCAUCUAAAAUAAAUAUAAAACAAAUAGCAAGUAAUAAGUCAUUGGCAAAAAAAGCAAGAAAUGUGCAUUAAAAUGAUGUAUAACAUAACCACAUUUAUUUAAAAAUGUAUUCCAAUAUCAAACAGCAAAUUUGAACAAUGCAAAAACCACAAUUACUCUUACACCAACCUGAAACCUAUUUCUCCAGUCACCUAUAGAAUCUGAUUAACAACUUAAUACCCAGAGGUCCAUGCUUCUUUCUUACUCAGCACUGCAUUACAUAUUAUGCACAAAGAAAUAAUAAGGACCCACAAGCCUACAAGUGUAAUUUCUACCAAAUAACUUCCCUAGGUUAAAUCACCUGUUGCAUCUACAUUAAUUUCUCCUCUAGAGACCCAUGUUAAUAAAAUUAUACAACAGGUUACCUGACUUCAACAAACCUUAGAACACCAAAGCAGACUUAAUCUGGGCACUUUCCAGACUGAUUUACAGACCUAUUAUCUGGGAUUCCUAGUAGAAUUCAGUUAAUCCUGGAAAGCAUUCUUAAAUUGGGCCUUAAUAUUCUUCUUUUGGUCAUGGUUGCCUACAUACUAGUAAAACUUAUUAUAUAUUGUGUAACCAAAGUUUUCUUGAGUUUGACUAAAACUUUCAAAGCAAGAAAUGAGAUGCCCAUGAUCGUUGUUCCUAAAAGAAGCACUAAGGAAUAUUUCCUUAGGCAGCUCAAAUGAUUUUAGUCUACAGUUGCCCCUCAUCAAUCUUGUCCAGCAAGAAAUAGGCAGAUGUGAGACAAAAUACCUUUGUCUCCAAUCCCACGAGAUUUUGGAAUGAUCUUUGACAGUGGGAAAUUGUGGUAGUGUAAAGGAUGUCUAGCAUGACUAGUUCCAUUUUGCUCCUAACCUCACCAGCACUCCCAUCACCCUGCACAAUGAUAUCAUGUAGGUUAACUGCUUUUUAUUAUUUCUGCACAUAGGCCAAACUAAUUUUGGGAGGAAUUUACAGUUUACCUUUAAAGCAAGGUUAAUAGUCUCUUCCCAAAACUAACCACUGAGGAGAUAAGGAUGGUGUACACAGAAGUAACCAUGUUAUAUUACAGAUUUAUAGGAGUAUUGUGACCUGACCAAGGACAAAGCAGUUUCACAACCCUCCCUGAGACCCUUGCUGCCACCCAGAUCUCUGUGAUCAUUGAUCACCUCUUGAUCUCAACCUCCUCCCUCUUCACCUUCCCCUAACAUAAGGGGGACCUAAAAUUCUCUUAACUAAAGAUGGUUCUUUAGGACAUUAAUACACUAUAUUCUUGGUUUAUUGCCUGUCCAAAAUAAAGUCACCUUCCUUGCCUCAACACCUUGUCUCCCAACUUAUUGGCUGUUUUGCAGCAAGUAGUAUAAGCUUGGACCUCUUUAUAAUUCAGCAAUAUAUAUGAAUAAAAACAGAAAUUAUAUAUAUAUAUAUAUAUAUAUAUAUAUACAUACAUACAUAUAUACGGGGAGAGGGAAUAUGUGUAAAUGUGGGUGAAUUUAUGUAAAAGCUACAUGAAUGUCAAUUGUAAUAAUCUUAUAGAUUUUUGGUAGGUCUGAUUCUCUUUCAGAAUAAAAAUGUGUAAUUAAAAAAAUGUUGAGAGUUCUCUUAUGAGAGGCGUUCAUUCAGAGACUGAAUGAAUUUCUGAGUAAUAGGGAGUUUUGCUUGGUUUAAAAAUGGGACUACAUGAUUCCACUUUGACACUUAGUAUGAUGCUUAAUUUUUUUUUUUUUUUGACACAAAGUUUCGCUCUUGUUGUUCAGGCUGGAGCACAAUGGUGUGAUCUUGGCUCACCACAAUCUCCGCCUCCCAGGUUCAAGCAAUUCUCCUGCCUCAGCCUCCCGAGUAGCUGGGAUUGCGGGCAUGUGCCACCAUGCCCGGCUAAUUUUGUAUUUUUAGUAGAGACAGGGUUUCUCCAUGUUGGUCAGGCUGGUCUCCAACUCCCGACCACAGGUGAUCAGCCCACCUCAGCCUCCCAAAGUUCUGGGAUUAUAGGUGUGAGCCACCGCACCCAGCAGAUUAUUAGUUUUAUGUGUCAAGUUGGCUAGGCCACAGUACCUGGAUAUUUGGUCAAACAGCAGUCUGAAUGUUUUUGUGAAGGUAAUUUUUUUACAUGACAUUACCAUUUAAAUCAGUACACUUUCAAUAAAGCCGGUUAUGCUCCACAAUAUGGUUGAGGUUCAUUCAAUCCAUUGAAGGCCUUAGGAGAAAACACUGAAGUCCCAGAGGAAGAGGGAACUCUGCCUCCUGUCUUCAGACUGAAACUGCAACAUCACCUCUUCCCUGGGUCUCAAGUCUGCCAGCCUAUCCUGCAGAUUUUAGACUUGUCAACCUCCAUGAUCAUGUGAGCCAAUUAUUUAAAAUAAAUCAAUGGUUUCUGUUUGUCUGGUGAAUUGACUAAUAAACUUAAAUUCUAUUUCCAACCGCCUCCUUGUAACUCCAAAUAUUCUUCUCAAUUUCUUCAUCUUCCCAGAAGCCUCUUACCCUCUCUCCCACUCCUUGUGUUCUGGGCCUGACAUGUAAUAGAAGCUCCUCCCUACUACCAACUAUGUAAUGCUAAGCUGAGAAGUAGCUGUUAGAGCUGUCUUUCAGAAGGUGCAGUCUAGAAACCAAGAUAUUAUUUGUUAUUCUUAUUAUUAUAAGUUUUGGAAUUACCAGGAUUGCUAUAUAAAACAUGUUAGAAUCAUUACUAGCCUGGAGCCUAACCUUUGAAUGAUGCAUGUCUAAUCACAGGGUAUUAGUUCUUCAAUGUCACCUGAUUCCACUGCUGUGAUAUAUGCCUUCAUUAAGGUUAAGGAGAAAGAAUUUAAAUAUCAGGGUUGAGCAUCUGAGCAAUUAUGUCAUUUCUACUGAUCACCUAAUGAAAAUUUAUGGCAUUUAACAGUGAAGAAAUCAGUUUACAUAAGGGUGCUAGCUUCUACCACUGUGCUCAUGCCAUUUCCUGGAAAGCCUUCACCAUAUUUACUAUAACAGUGCAUUUUUAGGGGUCAUCCAAUUACAGAAAGCACACUAUGGCUGAAGAAAGGUUGCGCAGUUUAGUUCUGCCAUUUUGUUACAAAGUGAUGUAAAUAAAAUUUAGACAUUGGUCAGCAUGAUGAGAACCCAGGAAGCUGAAAUGUAGAGUCUGGUUUUCUGCAGAUGUCAUGUUUUAGAGCAAUCAUAAAAAGUCCAAAUAGGGAGGAUAAAUAUGAGGACAGAAACACAGAGUAAUAAACUAACACCUUGAAAAAAAGUAAAGAAGUGUAUUGUAUAGUUGAAAAUUGUGAGAACUGUGUCACCUACAGAAUCUAAUUUAUAGUCAUCAGAGGAAAUAAAAAUGUUCCAAGAAGCCACAGCAACUGUUCCUGGCAGGCUACUGUGGACGUUGCUCCAGGCAACUGUGACCCUGCCAUGAUUUCAGAAGUUAGACAUUACUUGCUAAACAAGAAACUUCCAAUUUCUUUUUAAAUUAAUCAUGAGGAUGGGAAAGGGUAAAGUUUCACUUCUCUCGAUUUUGCAGAGUCCUUUGAGCUCCAAAGCACACAGAGGGCCACAGGCAUACCUUCUUUUCAGAAAGACCCUCUCUGACCUUCUUAUCUAAAGCAGCACAUUCACCCCAUGGCUUUCCAACCCCUCACUCUGCUGUCUCCACAGAGCCUAUUCCUGCCCAAGGAUGGCAGGCUGGCAGCUGGUAAGGCCUAUGACCUGAAGCUAGCAGCCUGCAUGUACAGUCUGCCUCUGUGACUUGACAGCUGGGGGGCAGGGUAGAGAGGAGGAAGACUUUGGAUAAGGUACUUAAUUUUUCUAUUCCUCAGUUUCUUCUUCUGAAAAAAAAAAUAGGAAUGUUAAUAAUGCCUACCUUAUAAGAUUUUGAGGAUUAUGUGAGUUACUAUUGAAAGCCCUGGAAGCACUGUCUGGCAAAUAGUCAUAUUCUGUGAAAUAAAACAGGUGAGCAAAAUGCAUUCAUUUUUCAUGGUCUGUCCUGUUGGAAGAUGAGCUCCACAAGAGAAGGGCCUUAUCUUACACUCUAUUGUAUCAUCAGUGCUUAUGGCAGUGCCUGACACACAGUGAGUCUCAGUAAAUGCCUGCAGAAGGUAAGGCUGGGAGGACUGUCAGCUUCUUCUGUGCUGCUUUCCCUGGUUUCUCUCCUUUCUUACUCAGAUGACCUCAUUUAGGUGAUCUGGCUUAUCUGUUUAGUUAGAAACUCAUUGAAAUAUUUUAUGCUAACAGAUUCUCUAGGAAUGUAAUCUUGUUAAUCCAUUAAUUCAUUUAUUAAGAUCAUAUAGUUGAAGGCUUAUAGUGUCUCCUGACUCAAAUAUAUGGCCCAGAAACAAUACUCAGCAUGUAUUUCAACUAUAAUGGGAUGUCAUUUAAAUAACCUCUCUAGGCUAAGCCAUUGGAUACACAGGCCAGUGGGGAAAAGGGAUAAGUUAGGAACAGUCACGGUUGAGACCAGGAACGAACUUGGCCAUUGCAUGUGCAUGGGAGGGAUGGCCUGCCUUCCAAAUCAUACAAUAAAAGGCAUCCAACCAAGCUGGCAGCUUUAUCCAGGGUCUUCUCUGGUGAACAGAGUGCCACAGACCACCCUGCAGAUGGGACAAUCAUUGGGUUUGGUCCUAGCUACAUGGAGGGGCAAGAGGACCCAUUUGAACUGAAGCCAGUCCUUAGCAACUGAGCUGGCUCAGGGUUCAACUCCAAGGAAGCUGGAAGUUGAAGUAGUCUGGACCUGACUAAGAAUUCACACCUUCUCCAGCCCCAGAUACAUGGGUGUAUUUUAGAACAGAGUCCAGUGCCAGCAGGAAAAUGGAGACCUAAUCAGUGACCAGUGGGCAGCUGCUGAGAGGACAAAGUCAGCCAUAUUGUGGUCUCCAUGAAACCCUCGGUUUUGGUCUUUCCUCAUUAAGGGAGCUGGACUCUCAUGUGCAUUUGAAAACCAACAUUCCUUAGUUUUUGAAGAUGUUCCUUAUUACUUCUUUGGUAAUUACCUCCUUUCCAUUUUCUCUCUUUCAGAAAUUCUUAAUUAAAUCUAUCUCCUACUUUAAUCCUCUAAUUUUCUUAUUAUUUCUUUUUCUGUUUUCCUGUUAGAAGUCUGUAGGGGCUUUUGUUGUUUUUCUUCCUGGUCUAGUUUCUCAAAUUCGUCUCCUAUUGGUUUCAGCUUUCAAAUGUUAACUUCCAAGAGCCUACCAGUUCUUGUUUCAUGGAUAUUGUGUAUUCUCUUGUCUUCCUCUGAGGAGUUUGAUUAUAAAGUGUUUGGGGCAGUUACUUUUCUUGUCUGUAUAGUUGCCGAAUCCUUUGAGUUCCUCUUUAGUUUUUACUUUUUUGUCACUGCCUUGCAUGUUGAAGACUUCCUUGACAUCUGCUCCUCCUUGUCAGUUCUCAUCAUAGUGAGGCCCUCGAGGGUGGAGAGAAGCUCUGUGUUCAAGGCUAGUCCUUGUUUCCUGUUUAGCUGCACUGUAGGAUUGUGGGUAGAGAUGGCCAUUUUUUUUAAUGACCUUCAAAUACUGGCAUCUGUGGAUCUGUUCUCCUGCUCAAUCUGUUUAUCCAGAGAGCAUCCUCCACUCUCCAACCUGAAAAGCAUAAGGCUGGUCACCAGAGAAUGGAGGUUGAGUUGGGCAGGGGCUCACUAUUUGGUGUGUAGACUUUCACCGAAUUCCCCGCUCUCAUCCUCUUGUUUCACCUCCUCUUCUCCCAGCUGGUGUUCCUGAAUCUGUCCCUUCUUUGGGAACUUCAGAAAGUUAAUCAAGUCUUUCAAGCAAAUUCUAAAGAACACAACGAAUAGCUUACUCAGUGAGAUCAUUUUUACAGGGUUUCAAAUCAGAACUUAAAGACAUUUUUCAGGCUUCACCUUUUAAGGACAAUGAUUAAAAAGGGCUAAAAAAAUCAUAAAGAGCUUAGUAAUAGAAGAUCCUGAUUGUGCAGGCUAGCAUACUCACAUGCAUGCUCCCCAACACUUUAGGCUGUAGGACCAGGCAUGGGGUGGGAGUGGAGGGGCAACCCAGGGACUUCUAUGUGUGCUCUUGUUUUGGGUUCAUAGGAAGAGACUAUUGGGUAAGUCACUUUACCUUCACUGGUAAAAUUAAAUUAGAGGAUUAGAGUAUGGGAUCUUUAGGCUCCUUUCAGCUCAAAGAUCAUCUAUUCUAUUCCACAAUAAUAAACUCAUCUCAUUUUUAUCCCUGUGGAUAGCUAGAAUGAAUGAUAAAGAAACAUCAUAAAUUCAACUUCAGGAUAUUAAGAUGAUAUGACAUGAAUGUCACAAAUAACGUCUCCCACAUCUUGUGGUUUGAUGGGACAAAUGAAGAAUCAGUGUUACUUGUGCUUUACACUUGUAGUUAUUUAGGCUUUUCUUUCAGGCAUGAAAAGACAAAGGCUGUAAAAUGAUUUCUUUAAGGCUUGUUAACAAUGGUAUUUUAUAUUUCAAAACCCGCAUUAUAUAUUUAGAAAGUAAGAGUGAAACAAGUCAGUGUGGGUGGCUGGGGAUGAAUUGGAAUGUGUAAUUACAAACAUCACUUCUGAAGGGCAGCUGCAGGAAGCAUGUUGAUACGGUAGUGUUGGGGUCUAUGAGCAGACACACAUUUACACACCCAGAUACACUCAUGUGUGACCUUGGCAUAUGCCCUUUAAAUGUCUGGAAAGGCUUUCAACACUACCUUUGUAUACAGUGAAGUGUCCUAAUAAUCAGUCUUACAAGAAACGGAGACCUAUUUCAGCAAAAGAUGAAAAAAAUAAAGAGAAGGUAUUAUUUCUCUGAAAAACCUGUGUCUUUCAUAAGCUUAGAUCCUUUCCCUCAUACCUCUUUGGGGUAAGAGUUUUCUCAAUUAGAAAUGCUUUUAUCUGCAGUUUGUAGGGGAAUGGCCCCCUGGCACCCUUGCCGGUCUCCAAACAGGCAAGUGAGGCUCAGCUGCAGCCUGCUUUGCCUUGGUGAAUGAACAUCUUGUCAUUCUCUCAGGAAUUUGGCAUGAGAGGCAGUUCUGUGUGGUGCUUUCAAGGCUGUUCCCCAUUCACCUCACUAUCUUGUGGGAGGUUGCCACAAGGCCAUUUUCCAUCUGUUUCCCUGGUUCUGGUGAGGCAUGGAGUUUUCCUUCUGUCCCCCUUCUUCAGGAACUAUUGCAGACUAUAGAAAUGCUUGGCUGGAGCCUAGAGUUGUUGACUUCUCAGCCACAAGGUAAGGAGUGACCCACUGCUGGUGUUCCCCAUCAUCUGCCUCCUUGGCUUGGUGUCAUCCUGUGGAACAAUGGCUGCAGGUAGCUGGCACAAUGCUGAUCUUUUAUGCUGUCUGUAUGAGUUAUAGGUUUGUUAUAACUCAUAUAACAUUUGGUUUCCAUUUUGGUUUGUUGUCUCCUUAUCAGCUUAAUCUUUAGAAAUAUGGCCAGCAAAGCUAGCAGCCAUGCCCAUGCUACUGAUAAGUGACCUGCCUAACUGCUUGGUAGAAAACUCGAUCAACUUAAAAAAGAAGGAAUGUUUCCUUUAUCCACAUACCAAGAAGUCAUGCCAUAGGCAACUGUUAAGUCAGCAACAUGAUGUCAGGACUAAUCCACUGCAAAAAUUCCUCAGUCAUCUUGGUCCUAAGAUGGCUGUUCUGGUUCUGGACAUCACAUCACGUCUGCAUUUAAGGCGAGAUGAAGCAGUGAAAGCAGGAAUCAUUAUCUGUCUGCUUUAUUAUGAAAGCAAAAUCUCUCUCGGAAAUGCUCCAGCAGACAUCACCUUGUGCACUAUUGGCCAUAACAGGAUCAUAAUACCCUGAGCUUCAAAGAAAACCAGUUUCUCAAAAAGACGAGCUAGAUCAGCAUGACUGGUGUAUGCUAGACUAGACUCAUCAGAGUACACACUUGGGCUGGUCUCCUUACCUUUGUGAACCAAACUUUAGUUUCACUGGUGAGACACAAGGAAAGGAUAAGUUGGAUAGGCAACAAGUUGUAUGUGCCAUUUGAACCAAUGUUGCCAGUCCCAGCCUCUUACCCCAGCUCAGUAGGAAAGACCCAUCAGUCACUGACUCUAUUAUCUCUUCUUGCUUGCACAUCAACUAUAUCUCAUAUUUGAACUGACCAAUAAAUAACUGGUACAUUGCAAAAACAAUUUCCAGUUCUUCAGUAACUGUAAGUCUAAUCUAAAAGAAAUUAAGUUGAGAACUGUCACGAUCAAGGACUAUAUAUGCACCAGCCCCUGAACUACUUUCUUUUCUUACCAGACUACAUCAAAGUUCAGAAGUGAAUGACAUUAGGUGAACGUUGAAAGUCUGAUGCCACCAUAAGCUUACUUAUCUUUGCAGUAUUCCAAAUAAAAUACAUUUCUUUCAGCCCUUUAGUGAUGAGAUUUUCUGGGGGGAGGACUCAAGAUGGCGCUGUGAGAACAACCCAGGAUUGAAGCUCUCGUUGAAUCCGCGGAGAGGAGAAAUUCCUGAAUGAACACAGAAAGGACUUUAGCAACGCAUUCAGCCUUGGAGAGAAUAACGGAGGAAGUUUUCUAAGAUGGGGAGGGCCUUUCCUCAUGCCUCUCCUAGAUAAGGCCACAAGCUGCAUGGCUGCUUGUCUGCCAACUGUGAUGAGAGCAGCCUCUUCCAGUCUACAGGAUGCAGUACUUUGUCCAAGAUUCAGUUAACAGGUGGGAGUGGUUCUCGAGAGUCAAAUCAGUUCUAUAAGUGUUUGGUGCUCAAAACCACAUUCCCUCAGCUUGCUGCUCAUUUCAAUGCUGUAAUGGACAGUUCCAUGAUCACUGGUGAUCAAGUAUCCUGGCCUGAGGAGAGAGAGCAUCAUACAUUGGUGGCUUAUUUCAGAGCACAUACUGUACUUGAAGGAAAGUAUCAUUGGAUCUCAAACUGUUGUCUGCAAGGUAGACUCAUAACGUAAUUUAAUAAGACAUUUCCCUGACUUCGAGGCCACAUGCUUCAGAGAGAUUGACUACAUGAUACAUUGCAGAUAACAUUUAGAAGCUCACGAACACAUUUCCUAUCUUCUUGGAGACAAACUUAGAUUACAUUUCUCCACAUCCUUUGCUCUUAAGUGGAAUGAUUUGAAUUAGUUACUGUCUAAUAGAGUAUGGGUUCAAUUUGAUGAUAAUCGCCUCCAAACCUGGGUCAUUGAUGGCCUACUUCCUCCAUGAAAUCCUUUGAGAAACCCUUCUAUAAGUCCACCUCCUCAGCCGAGUGCAGAAGACCAAUUGAAGGAGGGAGCCCUGGGAUCUCUGAAUGACUGUGGACAGAGCCUUUCACUCUGCCCUACUGACCUCUACUGCACCGUGAAAACAGAAAUAGAAUUUUUAAAAAAUUAUAUAUGUGUUCCAUCAUAUUAUAUUAAGCCCUUUAAUUUGGAGUUGGUAUAGUAAUUAUCCUACCCUGACUAAUACAUGGAAAAAGAACUAAAUUCCAUAUAUGUGAGAUCAUUGCCUUAUUCAUUUUAUUAUACAUUUUUUUUUGCAUAUGAUGCAAUGUUCUGUGGCAUACUAUGGUCUAGGAUAACACAUUUGAUAAAUUUACAAAUGGAUCAUAUUGCUGGUAAAUUCAUUCCAGAAUAAGUGUCAUUCUAGUAAGAAUGAAUUGAUCCCUUUUCCUAAUGGGAGCGAAGUGGCUAUUUCAAGUCCAUAUAACAAGAUCGGCACUGGACUUGGCUGUGGGCAGGUGGGCACUCAGCAGUGGUGCUAGCUAGACCAGCCUUGCUGAGAAGUCCAUACCAUUUGAGCCUGUGUAAACCUCUCUCUUGUAAAUAAUACAAAUCAUAUUUGGGUUAUUUUCCUUUGGCUGCCAUAACAAAUUACCACAAAAUUAGUGGCUUAAAACAAUAGAAAUUUAUUCUCUUACAGUUCUGGAGACCAGAAGUCCAAAAUGAAGGUGUUGGCUGGGCUGUGCUCCCCUCGAAGGGUCUAGAGGAGAAUCCACUCCUUGCCUCUUCCAGCUUCUGGUGGCUGCCAGCAUUCCCAGCGUCAUCACCCCAGUCUCUUUGCAGCCUGUCAGCACGUCGCUAACCAUUGCAGUGGAACAAAGUGAUGUUCUAUGGUGUGAUGAGACAGACAAGGUUCCUGUGGACUAGAUGAUUACAGAAAACUGGAGAGCUGAGAUCUGAUGGCACUGAAAGGGGAGAAGGCAGGCAUAAAAAGGAUCAGCAUCCCUUUGGAAGAUAUUCAAAUUUGAAGAACUUUUGGUUUCACAAUCUUUUGGUUUUUAGAAGCUGCAUCGCAAAAGGGUGUGUAUGAGGGUGUGAUUGGGUAUGGCAUCACUCAAGGAGAGCCAGGUGUAGGCUCCAACAAACCAGGACUAAUUCACAUGAUUUUGAUCACCUCUUCAUUUUCUUGGGUCAUUUUACUACUUACUGAGAUAAAUUAAUUACACAAACUGUAUUAAUAGCUUUACUCAAAAACUGUAGGAAGCUUCCUGUACCACUUUGGCUACAAGUGAAUCCUUCACACCCAGCAUUUCCCAAAAGUUGUGCUUCCUGUUUGGUUAGCCAGCUGUUUAGCAACUUAAAGCAGAGAUGAAUAAUGUUUCCAAAUGUGAUUCCACUGAUAAAAUUGUGCACAUGUUAUGAUUAAAGCAAAUUAUCAUAAAUUCUAAAGCAUAAAAAAGAGCUACCAGGUUGGCUUUGAAUUUUCAGUUUGAUUACAAUCUAGUGCCUAGCAUCUGAAAGUUACACUAAUGCACACAUUCAGAUUGCUACAAGCAGUCUUACUAGGGGGAUGUGUUGAACUGUCUUGACUAAAGACCACCAUUUGAAAGCAUCUGUCUCUUCUCUCUUAAGGACAGUGUUUUAGAGAAUUAAAAGGUGUUCUCUUGUCCUUAUUCCCUUCCGUUGCCCCACCCCUUCUUUGGCUAUGUGCUUUCUUUUCAACUGUAUAUUUGGAAUAUAUAAGAUAUGUUAAAGACUGAAAGAUGAAAUAAAAAAAAAAUUUUUAAGCAAGGACGAGAUGAAGAGAGGUAAUAAAAUUUUAAGUUAAAAAAAUCACCUGAGGAAAUAAAUAUAUAUUAUUUUUCUAGUUAUACAUAAAUGUACAUACUUUGUAGUAUGCUUAGAUCUUUAAUCAUCCUUUCCACAAAUAUGUUUAGAGAAUGUUUCCCUUAGAGGAGUAAGUGCUAUGUCUAGUCUUUUAAGUAUAUUAUAAAAGCAAAGACUUGUUGUGACCAAUACGGCUAUGAAUAGGUCAGCUGGAGUCAAGUGGCCUUACCUGCAAUAUAGCUACAGGAUUAAGUUAAUUUCAUAGUAGAAUAUUGUCUAAAAUGACUUAACAUUUUAAAAAUUAAUCAAAUUUAAAUGUUUUCAGUAUUUUACCCAAAGAAACUUUGGAAGCAUUUAACUCACCAGCUGC